rnacentral:rRNA from 1 species
AGAGUUUGAUCCUGGCUCAGAACGAACGCUGGCGGCAGGCCUAACACAUGCAAGUCGAGCGCUGUAGCAAUACAGAGCGGCGCACGGGUGAGUAACACGUGGGAACGUGCCCUUUGGUUCGGAAUAACUCAGGGAAACUUGAGCUAAUACCGGAUGAGCCCUAACGGGGAAAGAUUUAUCGCCGAAGGAACGGCCCGCGUCGGAUUAGCUAGUUGGUGAGGUAAUGGCCCACCAAGGCUACGAUCCGUAGCUGGUUUGAGAGAACGACCAGCCACACUGGGACUGAGACACGGCCCAGACUCCUACGGGAGGCAGCAGUGGGGAAUCUUGGACAAUGGGGGAAACCCUGAUCCAGCCAUGCCGCGUGAGUGAUGAAGGCCCUAGGGUUGUAAAACUCUUUCGGCGGGGACGAUAAUGACGGUACCCGCAGAAGAAGCUCCGGCUAACUUCGUGCCAGCAGCCGCGGUAAUACGAAGGGGGCUAGCGUUGUUCGGAAUUACUGGGCGUAAAGCGCGCGCAGGCGGUCCUUCAAGUCAGAGGUGAAAGCCCAGGGCUCAACCCUGGAAUGGCCUUUGAGACUAGAGGACUUGGGUACGGGAGAGGUGAGUGGAAUUCCGAGUGUAGAGGUGAAAUUCGUAGAUAUUCGGAAGAACACCAGUGGCGAAGGCGGCUCACUGGCCCGUUACCGACGCUCAGGCGCGACAGCGUGGGGAGCAAACAGGAUUAGAUACCCUAGUAGUCC